GUGCUCAACAGGAAAUCUGGUGUCUGAUUUUUAGUCGAGCUGAAAGCCAUGAAACUCAUUCUGCGGUGGAUUUUUUGCUUCAGUUUAGGUUUUGUCGCUGAUUGCCAAGUGAAUCGUUAUGGAUUGAAAGGAAGCUCAAUCCGUCUGAGCAUCAGUCCCAGAAAUCAGUCACUAACUAAUGUUGGGUGGCAACGAUUAAACAGGAAAGAGGUGCUUACAGACGCAAAAGAAGUUUCCCCUCAUUUUGAGAAAAGAAUGAGCCUAAACGUCUCAGACAUGUCUUUGACCAUACACAACCUUGAGGAAAAUGACAGUGGACUGUAUGAAGUCAUUAAGAAGUGGGAGUCUGAACCUCUGGCUGCAUUCACACUUACAGUGGAGAACACUGUCUCUAAGCCUGUAAUCAGAGUGAACCAAUAUGACACUAAUUCGUCUGCUGAAGGUGUGUCGGCCGCAGUGAACUGUUCAGCUGAUGGCAGCUGGGCCACGUUUGACUGCCACCAAAAUGUCUGUACAAAGAUACGAUCCUCUCCAUUCUCCAUUAACAUCACUGUCACUGCACUGGACAGCAACAGCAUCAAAUGCUACGUCAACAACAACGUGAGCAUGAAUCAUUAUAAAGCUCCCAACAUUAUAUGUAACCAUUUCUGUCUAAAAUUGCCAGUAUAGAGGAAUUUUGGAUAAAGAUCUAGUUUUUCCCCAUAGUUUAUCUUUUGUCUCUGGAGUAAACAUGAUGUUUGUUAAAGGGGUCAUCGGAUGGCCAUUUUCCACAAGUUGAUAUGAUUCUUUAGGGUCUUAAUGAAAUGUCUAUAACAUAGAUUCAGAUUUCUCAAUAUUUGUGUUAAACAACCCCCUUUUAUCUUGUCAAAAACAAGCGCUGUUCACAGCGACCCGUUUCGGUGCUGUCCCUUUAAAUGCUAAUUGGCUCUGCUGACCCGCCCCUCUCUUCUGUGGGGUGAUGAGCCAGUUCUCUGAGAGACUGUAAACUUUAGCUGCAUUUGUUGCGGAACUGGCUAACUAGCACAUUAUUAGGAAAAGCGAUUUGCAAAGAUUCAUAAAAAAAAUCACCUCUUCUGGAGGUGAAGCUGGAUCACAAAUAAUUUGCGGUAUUAUAGACACAUUUAUGUAGAUCGGGGGUGCAUUUCCCUUCAAAAACAAAGGUAAUCCAAUGCAUCUUCAGCAGCUCAGGUGUUAGGAGUAAAUGACGACUGCUAUGUUCAUUAUUACAUCAAACAACAAAACACCUCAAUCAAAUUCUUGUCUAAACCUGCUCCAGCGUCAAAACAAUGGGGGAUUGUUCACAGCUCACUCAGGGCGGAUCUAAGGUAAAACACCAAUCAACAAUUGUACAAGGGCCUGUGUAAAACUACGUCACUCUGCCAAGUAUAAAUUAACUGCUUGAUCUGAGAAACAUCUGAGUAAAGCCCCUUUCACACUGCGAUUCCGGUAAAUACACAGGUAAUGUGUCCCGGCAUUUGUACCUGGGUCACUAGAUUUUGCACUUUCACACUGCAAGUGAUUACCCGGAAUAUGUGCGUGCGUUCACACACACAACCCGUAAAGGUCCCGUGAAGACACGUGAUAUCAGGGUGUGACAUGUAAUGUACGAGUCGAAAACACUAGGCACGUUAACUUUCACUGAAGCUGGCGAACGAUCUCAGCUUCAGCGCGGAAAGUAAGGAACUAACUGUUCAUGCUUAGUUACAGUUUGCACAUAUUUUUUCAUCGUGAACGCUGAUCUGCCUUCAAAACACCUGGUAAAAGAGUCGCGCGAUAAUGCGUGUCAUCACUACGACACAAAGAAGUCGACCCGGCAAUGUUCCGGCAAUUCCGACAUGCAGUGUGAAAGAGGCUCAUGAGUGUUGAGCUUUCUUCUCCUGCAACCUGCUCUUCAUGCAGUCUAUGGGACAGUCACAAGCCUCCCGGUUUUCAUCCAAAAUAUCUUAAAUUGUAUUCCAAAGAUGAACUGAGCUUUUUUGGGUUUGGAAUGACAUGGGGGUAAGUGAAUAAUGACAAAAUGUUAAUUUUGGGGUGGAGUUACCCUUUAAAUAUAAAUGAAAUUACGCUUCCAAUAGAAUUUUCCGUUUUUGGUCAUUUAAGGUAGUUGUUAUUACACUGAAAUAUGUUAAACCGUUCGUUUAUGUAAUAAGUUUGAUUUUAGCUAAUAAUUUGAUGCUACAAGAACGGGGCGUGUCAUUAUGGUUGAUUGGGUCUGCGGGAGUUUGGGCGGGAGUUUGAUAAAGCGGUUCCUUCUCACGACACUACUCCGCAGACUCUGGCUCCAAAUGACGUCAUUUACUCAAGAUGGCAGCGGCCAUACUGAGAUGCUUUGGCUUCACUUUCUAUAGUGGAAGGAAUAGGAGAUGCGUCGUCCUAUCUUUUUUUUUUUUUUUUUACAGUCUAUGAAAGGGACUAAUAAAAGCCCUGAUAUCUGAAACAGGAAAAGUGCCACUGCAGAGGGUGAAGAGCUGAUCAGACAGUGAGGGAGCUCAGCGUAAAUUAUGUACUCAAAGUUUGGAGUAAUAAACUACAUGGUAGUGUUAUCAUAAAUAUCUAUAUUUUGAUACCGAUACUGAAAUAUCUGACAGGGUUCCAUUACUCAUUUCCCACAGUAUCUACCAAAUAUACAUCAAUACAAUCUGCGUCUCUCUUUCUUCUCUGACAGUGACUUUGACGGUCAUCCGUCUCCUGUCAGAGUCUGAAUAUCCGGUGCGGGACUGUAGGUAUUCCGCAUGAUUUUAAUCAUUCCUGUGCAAAUGUGGUGAGAGCUUUAUUAUAACAUGAGAACACAAUCAUGCAAUCGCAGAGAGCUCUCAAAUAGAGCGUCAAGUUUUCAACCAUUCAGAAUAGAUCCACACCUGACCAAUGAAAAUGCUACUAGAAAUUUUAUUGGCUGUAAGUGAAAUGCAUCAGAUAGUCUUUCAACAAUCAAAGAUGGAACUUUAAUUUAUUUACAAUGUAAGUUUGCUUAGAAAUGUUUCGGAAUGGGAUAUUUGUAUGAUUAGUACAUAUAAAUAUCCUAGUCUCUCUAACGGCAUCAUUGUACAAACAUUACAGGUCAAAGCCAUCUGAUGUUCCAUUUAUCUAAACAAACAACAUAUAAAACACUGCCUAUAAAAAUUCAGUGUUGUCAUAUUUUGAAUACCUCAACUGAAUUGAGGUCAUUUAUUUUAUAAUUUUUAUUUUGUUACGGACUGUGCGCUUGUCUUUUUUUAGUAAAUUCAAUUCAGUUUGAAAUCAAAUUUGAAAUCAUGCUUCCUUGUGCUGUAAGCUUUUGCAACAAAGU
rnacentral:lncRNA from 1 species